rnacentral:rRNA from 1 species
GACAGAGGGUGCAAGCGUUGUUCGGAAUUACUGGGCGUAAAGCGCGCGUAGGUGGCUUUGUGUGUCUGGUGUGAAAUCCCUUGGCUCAACCAAGGAAGUGCGCCAGAAACUGCAAUGCUCGAGUUCGGGAGAGGAUGGUAGAAUUCUCAGUGUAGAGGUGAAAUUCGUAGAUACUGGGAGGAACACCGGUGGCGAAGGCGACCAUCUGGACCGAUACUGACACUGAUGUGCGAAAGCGUGGGUAGCAAACAGG